AAUCAACGCUGGCGGCGUGCCUCAGACAUGCAAGUCGAACGCGAAAGCUCCCUUCGGGGAGCAAGUAGAGUGGCGCACGGGUGAGUAACACGUAGGUAAUCUACCUUUGGAUGGGGAAUAACAACCGGAAACGGUUGCUAAUACCGCAUAAUGCAGCGGCACCUAAUGGUGACAGUUGUUAAAGCGGGGGAUCACAAGACCUCGCGUCUGAAGAGGAGCCUGCGGCAGAUUAGCUAGUUGGUAAGGUAACGGCUUACCAAGGCGAUGAUCUGUAGCCGGCCUGAGAGGGCGGUCGGCCACACUGACACUGACAUACGGGUCAGACUCCUACGGGAGGCAGCAGUCGGGAAUUUUGGGCAAUGGGCGAAAGCCUGACCCAGCAACGCCGCGUGAAGGAUGAAAUCCCUCGGGAUGUAAACUUCGCAAGAACGGGAAGAAUAAGUCGGUGUAAACACCACCGACGAUGACGGUACUGUUUGUAAGCUCCGGCUAACUCCGUGCCGGCAGCCG
rnacentral:rRNA from 1 species